GAUGAAGAACGUAGCGAAAUGCGAUAAGUAAUGUGAAUUGCAGAAUUCCGUGAAUCAUCGAAUCUUUGAACGCAUAUUGCGCCCUCUGGUAUUCCGGAGGGCAUGCCUGUCCGAGCGUCAUUUGUACCUUCAAGCUCUGCUUGGUGUUGGGUGUUUGUCUCGCCUCUGCGUGUAGACUCGCCUCAAAACAAUUGGCAGCCGGCGUAUUGAUUUCGGAGCGCAGUACAUCUCGCGCUUUGCACUCAUAACGACGACGUCCAAAAGUACAUUUUUACACUCUUGACCUCGGAUCAGGUAGGGAUACCCGCUGAACUUAAGCAUAUCAAUAAGCGGAGGA
rnacentral:misc_RNA from 1 species